rnacentral:rRNA from 1 species
ACGCUCGACACCUACGGGAGGCAGUAGUGGGGAAUAUUGCACAAUGGGGGAAACCCGUGAUGCAGCGACGCCGCGUGAAGGAAGAAGUAUCUCGGUAUGUAAACUUCUAUCAGCAGGGAAGAAAGUGACGGUACCUGACUAAGAAGCCCCGGCUAACUACGUGCUAGCAGCCGCGGUAAUCUGAGCGGGCUGGCAAGGC